GUGAGGAAUAUUGCGCAAUGGAGGCAACUCUGACGCAGCCAUACCGCGUGCAGGAAGAAGGCGCUACGCGUUGUAAACUGCUUUUAACCGGGAAGAAACCCCAGGACGUGUCCUGGGUUGACGGUACCGGAGGAAUAAGCACCGGCUAACUUCGUGCCAGCAGCCGCGGUAAUACGAAGGGUGCAAGCGUUAUCCGGAUUCAUUGGGUUUAAAGGGUGCGUAGGCGGAGCGUUAAGUCAGUGGUGAAAUCCUGCAGCUUAACUGUAGACUUGCCAUUGAUACUGGCGCUCUUGAGUGCGCUUGAAGUGGGCGGAAUGUGCCGUGUAGCGGUGAAAUGCUUAGAUAUGGCACAGAACACCAAUUGCGAAGGCAGCUCACUAAGGCGAUACUGACGCUGAGGCACGAAAGCGUGGGGAUCGAACAGGAUUAGAAACCCGGGUAGUCC
rnacentral:rRNA from 1 species